GCACGUUAUGGUGGGCGACUCUAAGGAGGACUGCCGGUCGGACAAACCGGAACGGGAAGGUGGGGAUGACGUCAAGUCAUCAUGGCCCUUACGGCCUGGGCUACACACGUGCUACAAUGGUCGGUACAAAGGGUUGCCAAGCCGCGAGGUGGAGCUAAUCCCAUAAAACCGAUCGUAGUCCGGAUCGCAGUCUGCAACUCGACUGCGUGAAGUCGGAAUCGCUAGUAAUCGUGAAUCAGAAUGUCACGGUGAAUACGUUCCCGGGCCUU
rnacentral:rRNA from 1 species